AUAUCUGCAGGGAAACACCACGUUAGCCUUUGAGGAGAGAGGCUAUGCAGGGAUCUAAAUAAGAAAAUGCGUAACAAUUUCAGAAGUGGCAAGAAGAAACAACAGGAUGGAAAAAGAUGUGAAGGAUGUGACAGUGAACGUGGGUCACCCCCAAGGCUCCUUGUAGCAAGACAACACUGGAGAUCCUCUUUUGCAUGAAACUGAUUUAUGCUGCAAGGUCCUGAAGGAAGACAGAUGUUUUUUGUGUUGUUUUGUUUUAGUGCAGUUCUCCAGUAAAAACAAAACCCAGGUGGUAAAGAAAUUCAGUCUUCUCCUUUGGGUCAGUUUACUUC